rnacentral:lncRNA from 1 species
AGAGUCCUGUGUGUUGAUUGUUGUGGUGGUGUGAAAGCAGAACAAAAACUCCUUUUGAGGCCGGGCACAGUGGCUCAUGCCUGUAAUCCCAGCACUUUGGGAGGCUGAGGCAGGUGGAUCACCUGAGGACAGGAGUUCGAGACCAGCCUGGCCAACAAGGUGAAACCCUGUCUCUACUAAAAAUAUAAAAAUUAGCUAGGCGUGAUGGCGGGCACCUGUAAUCCCAGCUACUCGGGGGGCUGAAACAGGAGAAUCACUUGAACCUGGGAGGCAGAGGUUGCAGUGAGCCAUGACUGAGCCACUGCACUGCAGCUUGGGCAACAAACGAAACUCUGUCUAAAAAAAACACACAGUUUGAGAGAGUUUUUCCCUACACAGAUAGUAAUGACAGUGUGAGGAAGGCAGCAGUUGCUGGACUCUAGAAGGAGAGAGCUGAGUCCUUGACAGGAGCUGUCACCAGGGAAAGCAGCCAGCCAGAGGUGACCUUGCAGGGAGGGAGCGUGGGAAAUGACCGCUGAAGCUCUGCUGAAGCCAGAGGGCGGAUAUCCCUUCCUGUAGUCGACACAGGUGAGCUUCCAAGGCUCAGAGCAAGUGGAGAAGGGUGGAGAAUGCACCUGAAGGGGCAUGACAUGGUUUGGCUGUGUCUCCACCCAAAUCUCAUCUUGAAUUGUAGUUCCCAUAACUCCCACAUGCCGUGGGAGGAACUUGGUGGGAGGUAAUUGAAUAAUGGGGGCAGGUCUUUCCUGUGCUGUUUUGGUGAUAGUGAGUAAGUCUCACGAGAUCUGAUAGUUCUAUAAAGGGGAGUUCACCUGCGCAUGCUCUCUUCUUGUCUGCCACCACGUGAUACGAGACGUUACUCCUCUUUGCUUCUGCUAUGAUUGUGAGACCUCCCCAGCCAUGUGGAACUGCAUCUGGCAUUUCCCCUGCUGGCAGUUAUUCUCUCUCCUGCUGCCCUGUGAAGAGCUGCCUUCUGCCAUGACUGUAAGUUUCCUGAGGCCUCCCCAGCUG